UACGAAGGGGGCUAGCGUUGCUCGGAAUCACUGGGCGUAAAGGGCGCGUAGGCGGCCGGCCAAGUCGGGGGUGAAAGCCUGUGGCUCAACCACAGAAUGGCCCUCGAUACUGGACGGCUCGAGACCGGAAGAGGUUGGUGGAAUUGCGAGUGUAGAGGUGAAAUUCGUAGAUAUUCGCAAGAACACCGGUGGCGAAGGCGGCCAACUGGUCCGGAUCUGACGCUGAGAUGCGAAAGCGUGGGGAGCAAACAGG
rnacentral:rRNA from 1 species